rnacentral:rRNA from 1 species
UACGUAGGGUGCAAGCGUUGUCCGGAUUUAUUGGGCGUAAAGGGAGCGCAGGCGGUCUGUUUAGUCUAAUGUGAAAGCCCACGGCUUAACCGUGGAACGACAUUGGAAACUGACAGACUUGAAUGUAGAAGAGGAAAAUGGAAUUCCAAGUGUAGCGGUGGAAUGCGUAGAUAUUUGGAGGAACACCAGUGGCGAAGGCGAUUUUCUGGUCUAACAUUGACGCUGAGGCUCGAAAGCGUGGGGAGCGA